rnacentral:rRNA from 1 species
UACGUAGGGGGCUAGCGUUGUCCGGAUUUAUUGGGCGUAAAGAGCGUGUAGGCGGCCAGAUAGGUCUGCUGUGAAAACUCGAGGCUCAACCUCGAGCUGUCGGCGGAAACCAUCUGGCUAGAGUCCGGAAGAGGAGAGUGGAAUUCCUGGUGUAGCGGUGAAAUGCGCAGAUAUCAGGAAGAACACCUAUGGCGAAGGCAGCUCUCUGGGACGGUACUGACGCUGAGACGCGAAAGCGUGGGGAGCGAACAGG